rnacentral:rRNA from 1 species
GUGGCAGCCGCCGCGGUAAAACCAGCACCUCAAGUGGUCAGGAUGAUUAUUGGGCCUAAAGCAUCCGUAGCCUGUUCUGUAAGUUUCCGGUUAAAUCCAUUAGCUCAACUAAUGGGCCGCCGAAAAUACUGCAGAACUAGGGAGUGGGAGAGGUAGACGGUACUCGGUAGGAAGGGGUAAAAUCCUUUGAUCUAUUGAUGACCACCUGUGGCGAAGGCGGUCUACCAGAACACGUUCGACGGUGAGGGAUGAAAGCUGGGGGAGCAAACCGGAUUAGAUACCCGGGUAGUCCCAGCUGUAAACGAUGCAGACUCGGUGAUGCGCUGGCUUGUGACCAGUGCAGUGCCGCAGGGAAGCCGUUAAGUUUGCCGCCUGGGAAGUACGUACGCAAGUAUGAAACUUAAAGGAAUUGGCGGGGGAGCACCACAAGGGGUGAAGCCUGCGGUUCAAUUGGAGUCAACGCCAGAAAUCUUACCCGAAGAGACAGCAGAAUGAAGGUCAAGCUGGAGACUUUACCAGACAAGCUGAGAAGUGGUGCAUGGCCGUCGCCAGCUCGUGCCGUGAGAUGUCCUGUUAAGUCAGGUAACGAGCGAGAUCCCUGCCUCUAGUUGCCACCAUUACUCUCCGGAGUAGUGGGGCGAAUUAGCGGGACCGCCGCAGUUAAUGCGGAGGAAGGAAGGGGCCACGGCAGGUCAGUAUGCCCUGAAACUUUGGGGCCACACGCGGGCUGCAAUGGUAGUGACAAUGGGUUCCGAAACCGAAAGGUGGAGGUAAUCCUCAAACGCUACCACAGUUAUGAUUGAGGGCUGCAACUCGUCCUCAUGAAUAUGGAAUCCCUAGUAACUGCGUGUCAUUACCGCGCAGUGAAUACGUCCCUGCUCCUUGCACACACCGCCCGUC